rnacentral:rRNA from 1 species
GACGUAGGGGGCGAGCGUUGUCCGGAAUUACUGGGCGUAAAGAGCACGUAGGCGGAUAUUUAAGUCAGGUGUGAAAGACCGCAGCUCAACUGCGGGGUUGCACCUGAAACUGGGUAUCUUGAGGGCAGGAGAGGGAAGUGGAAUUCCUGGUGUAGCGGUGAAAUGCGUAGAAAUCAGGAGGAACACCAGUGGCGAAGGCGACUUUCUGGACUGACCCUGACGCUGAGGUGCGAAAGUGUGGGGAU